rfam:Schistosoma mansoni strain Puerto Rico chromosome 4, complete genome
AUCCAGCCUAAGAGUCCCAAAUAGGACGAAACGCGCGUCCUGGAU